rnacentral:tRNA from 1 species
GGAUAGGUGGCUCAGCAGUUAAGAGCACUGGCUGCUCAUCCAAAGGACCUGGGUUCAAUCCCCAGCAUCCA